rnacentral:misc_RNA from 1 species
GCAAGGGAAGCAUAAAACUCAAACUCUUGAGCAGAAGUUCAAAAGUGCAUAUCCUUGCAAAAAGCAAAACUGCUAAAUGUUAAAAACCUAUACCAGGUGCAUUUUCACAUAUGUCACAACGGGGCACAUCACUAGGGUCAGCAAGCCCAACACGUACAUGUCGACUAGCAAGCUUGUUACACAAAUGGACCUUCUCAUCACAAGAGCGGCAAAGCGCGGCUUCAUCGGCGGCGCAGAAGAGGAUCGCGGCGGCACUCUCACACACGUCGCAAAGCGUUCGCAUUUCUCUUUUAUCUCUUUUAUCUCUUUUUCUUAUUUUACAUACAAAUUGGCUCAAUAACUUAGUUUUUAUUCUUUAAUCAGCGCUGUUAAUUGUUCGUCCUUUCUUCUCAUGAACGCCAUUUCUGUGGUUUGCAGAGUCUUAACUAAGGAUAUCAGAUGAAGAGCAUAAAUUGAAGGAUUAGGAAUGAUUGCGUAUGGCG